AUAAUUUGAAGGUUUUUAAAGGGCAGUGAUGCAGAUUUUAUGUUUAACAGCAUGUAAAAAUGUGGCUUAAUAUUAUAUUUAAUACUAAAUAUUCUACAUUUUUCAGGUUUCCCCUUCGUUUCAAGCAUUCUGGUGAAGUGUUGCUCUAUUCGAGGUGUCUUCUUUUUGCGGAGGUCACUUUGCCCAGUUUAGGACAUUACGGAUGUUCCUCGAACGCAUCACCUGCAAAGGUAGCGCGACUUGGCUGUCCGCUGUUUUGUUUCGUAAGAGAAACCCAGCAUGGCUUCUGCCGAGCACCACCUGAGAAACUGUCGAGCGGUUUUCCUCCUAGAUAUUGUGGAAAUCCUGGCAGUUUCUUUGGGGGGGAACAUUUCUUUUUGGUGGAUGACGGCGAGCUUCUGAGUCUGCAGUCCAGGGUCUGCAGUCAUGCUGAUGGUGGAUCAACUCACCUGGAUACCGAUCUUGUGGACUGAUUGUGCCAUUCGGAGGACAGGAACCACGUGGAAAUCGAGCUAAGGAGAAUCCGUUUUUUUAAAUUUUAUUUGCACUUUUUUCCUCCUGAGAUCUCAGGUUAUUUUUUAUUUAUGGGAACUGAAAAAACAUAAGUUGUAGCAACCCCAACUGUGGCAGACACUGACCCUGUGGGAAGGAAACACUGCUCAUUUCCUUUAAAUGUAUUUUGUUUGAGUUAUAAAUCUGUGAAGCUAUUUUGUUAUCAGAAUUUACAAAACGGUAUUUUCAUUUAUAAACUGGUUUUCCUUUUCAUAAGUCUGGUCGUGUGUUUUGUGUGGGCUGGAGGUCUUCCUGCUCUUUAGAGCCAGCUAUAACCAAUCUUCUUAUUAUUGAAGCUAGUGAACAGAGAAGACUAACCCAUUGAACAGGUAUUAGACGGUUACAUUUGCAUCAGUUAAGGAUUUAAAAAAAGAAGAAAAUAUACUUUAAUAAGAAAAAAAAUUACCUUCCCUUUAACUUUCAAUUUCAACUGGGCAAACUAUAUAUGUACUAUUUAAAAGAUCAUUGGCAGGGAUUAUAAUUAUAAUUCCAUGUUCUAAUUAUGACU